rnacentral:tRNA from 1 species
AAUGAUGAGCCUGAUUAAAGGACUAUCGUGAUAGGAUAAAACAUGUAGUUAAGCCUACCUUCAUUA